rnacentral:rRNA from 1 species
GAUGAACGCUGGCGGCGUGCCUAAUACAUGCAAGUCGAGCGAACAGAUGAGGAGCUUGCUCCUCUGACGUUAGCGGCGGACGGGUGAGUAACACGUGGAUAACCUACCUAUAAGACUGGGAUAACUUCAGGAAACCGGAGCUAAUACCGGAUAAUAUAUUGAACCGCAUGGUUCAAUAGUGAAAGACGGUUUUGCUGUCACUUAUAGAUGGAUCCGCGCCGCAUUAGCUAGCUGGUAAGGUAACGGCUUACCAAGGCAACGAUGCGUAGCCGACCUGAGAGGGUGAUCGGCCACACUGGAACUGAGACACGGUCCAGACUCCUACGGGAGGCAGCAGUAGGGAAUCUUCCGCAAUGGGCGAAAGCCUGACGGAGCAACGCCGCGUGAGUGAUGAAGGUCUUCGGAUCGUAAAACUCUGUUAUUAGGGAAGAACAAAUGUGUAAGUAACUAUGCACGUCUUGACGGUACCUAAUCAGAAAGCCACGGCUAACUACGUG